rnacentral:rRNA from 1 species
GAUGAACGCUGGCGGCGUGCCUAAUACAUGCAAGUCGAACGAACAGACGAGGAGCUUGCUCCUCUGACGUUAGCGGCGGACGGGUGAGUAACACGUGUAUAACCUACCUAUAAGACGGGUAUAACUUCGGGAAACCGGAUCUAAUACCGUAGAAUAUAUUGAACCGCGUGGGGCAAUAGUGAAAGACGGUGUUGCGGGCACUUAUAGAUGCAUCCGCGCGGUAUUAGCUAGUUGGUAAGUUAACGGCUUACCAAGGCAACGAGGCGUAGCCGACCUAAGGGGGUGAUAGGCCACAUUGGAGCUGAGCCACGGUCAAGACUCCUACGGGAGGCCGCAGUCGGGAAUCUUCCGCAGUGGGCGAAAGUCUGACGGAGCAAGGCGGCGUGAGUGAUGACGGUCUUGGGAUCGUAAAACUCUGUUAUUAGGGAAGAACCAAUGUGUAAGUAAAUAUGCCCGUAUUGACGGUAACUAAUAAGAAAGCCACGGCUAACUACGUG